ensembl:lncRNA
GGCAGUCACCGAAGUCAAAGAACAGGAGGAUCUCAAGUGAAAGAUGAAGACAAAAUUGGGAACUGAAACAGAGACAUGCAUGGAGAGGAAGCAGUGUAGGAGCAAACAAGAGGAUCUAGGAUACUAUUCCACUAAUACAGUGGAAAAUUAUUAGAAUGUGACCCUAGAAUGGCUGGCAGUCACAUCCCCAACUAGAUGAUGAGCCAAGAGCCCCCUUUGAUGAAGGACUUGGCCCAGCUGCUGUGAUUAUUGUUGGCACUCAACUUUGGGCUGUCAGCCUUCAGGAACUGCCUCAGCUACAGAGAGCCUCUUCACCCAAAGUCACCCCUGCCCUGGGCUGCCCACAUUCAAAGACUGGUGGCUGCAGCAGCCAGGCCAUCUCCAUCUAACUCGGGACAACUCUGAGGAGCCAUUCUACCUCCACAGUUUAUGGGUCUGCCUAGGCCAGAGUGUGGCCUGCAUCACAGCUCAGCUUUCUCUCUGCCCAGUCCUGCACCCAGCUUUUCCCUUCCACAGGUGUUAAUCCUGAGGGUCAUUUUUGUGGUUUAGUAGCUAAUUUGUGUCUGACUCUCUAUGACCCCAUGGACUGAAGCCCACCAGGCUCCUCUGCCCAUGGGAUUCUCCAGGCAAGAACACUAGAGUGGGCUGCUAUUUCCUUCUCAAGGGGAUCUUCCUGACCCAGGGGUCAAACCCACAUCUCCUUUGUUGGCAGGUAGCUACUUUACCACUGAACCACCAGGGAAGCCCUAAUCCUGAGGGUACUCCUUAAUAAACAUCCUGAG